GACGAACGCUGGCGGCAGGCCUAAAACAUGCAAGUCGAGCGAGGUAGCAAUACCUAGCGGCGGACGGGUGUGUAACGCGUGGGGACGUGCCCUUUGCUACGGAAUAGCCCUGGGAAACGGGGAGUAAUACCGUAUGUGCCCUUCGGGGGGAAGAUUUAUCGGGAAAGGAUCGGCCCGCGUGGGAUUAGGUAGUUGGUGUGGUAAUGGCAUACCACGCCGACGAUCCAUAGCUGGUUUGAGAGGAUGAUCAGCCACACUGGGACUGAGACACGGCCCAGACUCCUACGGGAGGCAGCAGUGGUGAAUCUUGGACAAUGGGCGCAAGCCUGAUCUAGCCAUGCCGCGUGGGCGAUGAAGGCCUUAGGGUUGUAAAGCUCUUUCGUGGGGGAAGAUAAUGACUGUACCCCAAGAAGAAGCCCCGGCUAACUCCGUGCCAGCCGCCGCUGUAA
rnacentral:rRNA from 1 species